CUCCAUUCAUUGUUUCAUAUGGUGUCCACGUAGCUGUACAUAAGCAGUGACAAAGCUUGGGCACUCUUAGACUGCAGAACAUGGAAAGUAGAGAUUUGUAUGGUGAAUAUCCAGACAGUAUGCACAUGCUGUGAGCUGGAAUUGUAUUUAAAGGGAUCCUAUAGUGCCAGGAAAACAAAGGAUUUCCCCAUAGGAAAGCAUUAA